rnacentral:rRNA from 1 species
CCUACGGGUGGCAGCAGUGGGGAAUCUUGGACAAUGGGCGCAAGCCUGAUCCAGCCAUGCCGCGUGAGUGAUGAAGGCCCUAGGGUUGUAAAGCUCUUUCGGCGGGGAAGAUAAUGACGGUACCCGCAGAAGAAGCCCCGGCUAACUUCGUGCCAGCAGCCGCGGUAAUACGAAGGGGGCUAGCGUUGCUCGGAAUCACUGGGCGUAAAGCGCACGUAGGCGGCUUCUUAAGUCAGGGGUGAAAUCCCGGAGCUCAACUCCGGAACUGCCUUUGAUACUGGGAAGCUCGAGUUCGGGAGAGGUGAGUGGAACUGCGAGUGUAGAGGUGAAAUUCGUAGAUAUUCGCAAGAACACCAGUGGCGAAGGCGGCUCACUGGCCCGAUACUGACGCUGAGGUGCGAAAGCGUGGGGAGCAAACAGGAUUAGAUACCCUUGUAGUC